rnacentral:rRNA from 1 species
UACGGGGGGUGCGAGCGUUGUCCGGAAUCACUGGGCGUAAAGGGCGCGUAGGUGGUUUGAUAAGGGUGUGGUGAAAGUCCGGGGGCUCAAACUCCGGAUCUGCGGUGGGUACGGGCAGACUAGAGUGAUGUAGGGGAGACUGGAAUUCCUGGUGUAGCGGUGAAAUGCGCAGAUAUCAGGAGGAACACCGAGUGGCGAAGGCAGGUCUCUGGGCAUUAACUGACGCUGAGGAGCGAAAGCAUGGGGAGCGAACAGG